rnacentral:rRNA from 1 species
UACGUAGGGUCCGAGCGUUGUCCGGAAUUAUUGGGCGUAAAGGGCUCGUAGGCGGUUUGUCACGUCGAGCGUGAAAACUCAGGGCUCAACCCUGAGCGUGCGUUCGAUACGGGCAGACUAGAGGUAUGCAGGGGAGAACGGAAUUCCUGGUGUAGCGGUGGAAUGCGCAGAUAUCAGGAGGAACACCGGUGGCGAAGGCGGUUCUCUGGGCAUUACCUGACGCUGAGGAGCGAAAGCAUGGGGAGCGAACAG